GACGAACGCUGGCGGCGUGCUUAACACAUGCAAGUCGAACGGAAAGGCCUUUUCGGAGGUACUCGAGUGGCGAACGGGUGAGUAACACGUGGGUGAUCUGCCCUGCACUCUGGGAUAAGCCUGGGAAACUGGGUCUAAUGCCGGAUAGGACCGCACUUUAGUGUGUGUGGUGGAAAGUUUUUUCGGUGUAGGAUGAGCCCGCGGCCUAUCAGCUUGUUGGUGGGGUAAUGGCCUACCAAGGCGGCGACGGGUAGCCGGACUGAGAGGUUGGUCGGCCACAUUGGGACUGAGAUACGGCCCAGACUCCUACGGGAGGCAGCAGUGGGGAAUAUUGCACAAUGGGCGCAAGCCUGAUGCAGCGACGCCGCGUGGGGGAUGACGGCCUUCGGGUUGUAAACUCCUUUCGCCAGGGACGAAGCGUUUUGUGACGGUACCUGGAGAAGAAGCACCGGCUAACUACGUG
rnacentral:rRNA from 1 species